GACAGAGGGUGCAAGCGUUGUUCGGAAUUACUGGGCGUAAAGCGUGCGCAGGCGGUUAUGCAAGACAGAUGUGAAAUCCCCGGGCUCAACCUGGGAACUGCAUUUGUGACUGCAUGGCUAGAGUACGGUAGAGGGGGAUGGAAUUCCGCGUGUAGCAGUGAAAUGCGUAGAUAUGCGGAGGAACACCGAUGGCGAAGGCAAUCCCCUGGACCUGUACUGACGCUCAUGCACGAAAGCGUGGGGAGCAAACAGG
rnacentral:rRNA from 1 species